rnacentral:tRNA from 2 species
AUCGGCGUUACCAUAGUUGGCGCAAUGGCCUCGGCCAUAGGCGGAGCGACCGCAGUUAAGGUCAUCCAGCCGGUUCUAUCCCGGGUGCCGGUUC